rnacentral:rRNA from 1 species
UACGGAGGGUGCAAGCGUUACUCGGAAUUACUGGGCGUAAAGCGUGCGUAGGUGGUUCGUUAAGUCUGAUGUGAAAGCCCUGGGCUCAACCUGGGAAUGGCAUUGGAAACUGGCGACCUAGAGUGCGGUAGAGGGUAGUGGAAUUCCCGGUGUAGCAGUGAAAUGCGUAGAGAUCGGGAGGAACAUCUGUGGCGAAGGCGACUGCCUGGACCAGCACUGACACUGAGGCACGAAAGCGUGGGGAGCAAACAGG